CUUCGGAAUCUUGAGAGCGGCGCACGGGUGCGGAACACGUGUGCAACCUACCUUUAUCAGGGGGAUAGCCUUUCGAAAGGAAGAUUAAUACCCCAUAAUAUAUUGAAUGGCAUCAUUUAAUAUUGAAAACUCCGGUGGAUAGAGAUGGGCACGCGCAAGAUUAGAUAGUUGGUGAGGUAACGGCUCACCAAGUCAAUGAUCUUUAGGGGGCCUGAGAGGGUGAUCCCCCACACUGGUACUGAGACACGGACCAGACUCCUACGGGAGGCAGCAGUGAGGAAUAUUGGACAAUGGGUGAGAGCCUGAUCCAGCCAUCCCGCGUGAAGGACGACGGCCCUAUGGGUUGUAAACUUCUUUUGUAUAGGGAUAAACCUUUCCACGUGUGGAAAGCUGAAGGUACUAUACGAAUAAGCACCGGCUAACUCCGUGCCAGCAGCCGCGGUAAUACGGAGGGUGCAAGCGUUAUCCGGAUUUAUUGGGUUUAAAGGGUCCGUAGGCGGACUCGUAAGUCAGUGGUGAAAUCUCAUAGCUUAACUAUGAAACUGCCAUUGAUACUGCGGGUCUUGAGUAAGGUAGAGGUAGCUGGAAUAAGUAGUGUAGCGGUGAAAUGCAUAGAUAUUACUUAGAACACCAAUUGCGAAGGCAGGUUACCAUGUCUUAACUGACGCUGAUGGACGAAAGCGUGGGGAGCGAACAGGAUUAGAUUACCCUGGUAGUCCACGCCGUAAACGAUGCUAACUCGUUUUUGGGUCUUCGGAUUCAGAGACUAAGCGAAAGUGAUAAGUUAGCCACCUGGGGAGUACGAACGCAAGUUUGAAACUCAAAGGAAUUGACGGGGGCCCGCACAAGCGGUGGAUUAUGUGGUUUAAUUCGAUGAUACGCGAGGAACCUUACCAAGGCUUAAAUGGGAAUUGAUCGGUUUAGAAAUAGACCUUCCUUCGGGCAAUUUUCAAGGUGCUGCAUGGUUGUCGUCAGCUCGUGCCGUGAGGUGUUAGGUUAAGUCCUGCAACGAGCGCAACCCCUGUCACUAGUUGCUAACAUUCAGUUGAGGACUCUAGUGAGACUGCCUACGCAAGUAGAGAGGAAGGUGGGGAUGACGUCAAAUCAUCACGGCCCUUACGCCUUGGGCCUCACACGUAAUACAAUGGCCGGUACAGAGGGCAGCUACACAGCGAUGUGAUGCAAAUCUCGAAAGCCGGUCUCAGUUCGGAUUGGAGUCUGCAACUCGACUCUAUGAAGC
rnacentral:rRNA from 1 species